rnacentral:rRNA from 1 species
AUGAUGGCCUGCCUGAAGGCAAUUGAGUUUGCGGCUGAAGUUGGAAUGGGCCGCAUCAUUACCGAGACAGAUGCUUAUGUACUCCUGGUCGCUCUCCAGUUGAACGAAUAUGAUGCAUCACGCCAUGGAGCUCAUAUGGAGCACCUUGUAGGGGCACGAUCAUUUAUAAUAGUUUCAGAAAGCAUAUCACCGUAUCAUCUCUGCAACAGAAAUGCAUCACUCAGUCACAAUGCAUAUCACCGUAUAAAAUUCAGUAAUAUUUGUAUCUUUUGUUCAGAAAACAGGAGUACUUUGGCAAACUAA